CAUGUCUUUUUGAUAAUAAUUUUAAGUCUAAUCUGCUCAAUGAUAAUUUAAAUUGCCGCAGUAUUUUGACUGUGCAAAGGUAGCAUAAUAAUUAGUUUCUUAAUUAGGAACUUGAAUGAAGGAUUGGACAAGAAAGCAGCUGUCUCUUUUUAAUUUUUAUAUAAUUUUAUUUUUGAGUUAAAAAGCUUAAAUUUUUUUAAAAGACGAGAAGACCCUAUAGAGUUUAAUAAAUUAAUUUGUUAAAUUAUUAGAAAUAAUAUUAAAUUAAUUUAUUUGAUUGGGGUGAUUGAAAGAUUAAAGUAAUUCUUUUAUAAUUGGAUUGAUGAUUAUUAAAUUUAAAUUCUUAAAUUUUAAAGAUUAAAAUAAAUUACCUUAGGGAUAACAGCGUAAUUUUUCUUUAAAGUUCUUAUUGAAAGGAAAGUUUGCGACCUCGAUGUUGGAUUAAAAUUAAUUUUUGGUGAAGAAGCUAAUAAAUUAGGUCUGUUCGACCUUUAAAAUUUUACAUGAUCUGAGUUUAAACCGGUGUAAGCCAGGUUGGAUUCUAUCUUUAAUUUUAUAAUAUAUUUUAGUACGAAAGGACCAAAUAUUUAUUAAAUAUUAAUUG
rnacentral:rRNA from 1 species